rnacentral:rRNA from 1 species
AUGCUUGUAGUAGAGUUAAAAAGAAAACCCAAAAAUAUUUCUCGUUCUUCUUUUACUUGUUGGGAGCUUUCCUGUGUAAAUAGUUUUUAUUUUCUUUUCCUUUCUUUGGGGGUCGAGAAGACCAUAUUGAAAAUGCUUAGUGGCUCUUAUAUGCAUGAUUGUUUAUUUAACUUAGAGCCCAUAUUACUUGUCUUCUCUCUUGAGUUGAAUGCUUGCAGAUUCCAGCUUAGUCCAAUGCACGUACACUCUUAUUAUUAUACACAUCCUUCGGUCGUGCAAGUGAAAGGCAAUAAUGAUGAUAUAUGA